GAUGAACGCUGGCGGCGUGCCUAACACAUGCAAGUCGAGCGAUUUACUUCGGUAAAGAGCGGCGGACGGGUGAGUAACGCGUGGGUAACCUGCCCUGUACACACGGAUAACAUACCGAAAGGUAUGCUAAUACGAGAUAAUAUACUUUUAUCGCAUGGUAGAAGUAUCAAAGCUCUGGCGGUACAGGAUGGACCCGCGUCUGAUUAGCUAGUUGGUAAGGUAACGGCCUACCAAGGCGACGAUCAGUAGCCGACCUGAGAGGGUGAUCGGCCACAUUGGAACUGAGACACGGUCCAAACUCCUACGGGAGGCAGCAGUGGGGAAUAUUGCACAAUGGGCGAAAGCCUGAUGCAGCAACGCCGCGUGAGCGAUGAAGGCCUUCGGGUCGUAAAGCUCUGUCCUCAAGGAAGAUAAUGACGGUACUUGAGGAGGAAGCCCCGGCUAACUACGUGCCAGCAGCCGCGGUAA
rnacentral:rRNA from 1 species